rnacentral:rRNA from 1 species
UACGGGGGGGUGCGAGCGUUGUCCGGAUUCACUGGGCGUAAAGGGCGCGUAGGCGGCCGCGUCAGUCGGACCUUUAAGUGCGGGGCUCACCCCCGUGAUGGGUCCGGGACGGCGUGGCUGGGGCGCGGUCGAGGGGGACGGAAUGCCGGGUGUAGUGGUGAAAUGCGUAGAGAUCCGGCGGAACACCGGUGGCGCAGGCGGUCC